rnacentral:ncRNA from 1 species
UUGUGUUUUUGGCUUUGGUACAAAACUGGCGUUUUCUAGGUUUACACAUGGUAUUUGAGAGUGUCGGGCAAAGGUUAAAGAAAUUGGUUUCUAGGCUUAUUCAAUGUGGCUUUAGUUGUGAUUGUAUUUAUAGCUAAGGGUAUUUUCUUUAAUAGGGUGUUGAAUAGGUAGUUCAAUCAUUAUGAGUUUGUGCUAAAAAAAUCAGAUUUUUUCCCCGUAUCUCCAGUGGUUAAUAUUUCACAAUUAUGGAAACAUAGAUUUAGCUGUGAAAAGAAAGGAAGGAAAUAAAGUGCCAGCACCUGCGGUUAAACUUUUUGUCUUUAGUCAGUUAAAGUGUAUAGUUUAGUUAUAGAAAAUAUUAGGUUAAUUCUAGGUCAGUAAAAUGUCGGUAAAAUGAAAACAGUUUAGAAAAAUUAUGGACCUAAAAACUUGAAGCUAAAAAGUCUGGUUUUGCUGGGACUGGGAUUAGAUACCCCAUUACUAAAGAUGUCAUAGCUCACUGCGGGGACUACGAGUAUUAGUACUUAAAACCCAAAAAGCUUGGCGGUGUACCAAAUCCGGUUAGGGGAACUUGGCGGUUAAUUCGAUGAUCCUCGAAAUACUUUACUUUUUUUUUUUCUUUAUAUACCGCCGUUGUCAAUUUAUCUUGAAGAGAAAAGUUUUAGGUGUUAAUAAUGGUUUAUUAUUGAAUUCAGGUAAACGUGUAGGUUAUAAAAAAGGCUUAGCUGAGUUACAAUUGUUUAGCAAAUAUUACGGAAAGAUUAAUGAAAGAUUAUCUUGAAGGAGUACUUAACAGUAAGAGUUAAUAAGAGUGGAAAUCUGAAUGGCGUAAUUGGUAUGUGUACAAAUCGCCCGGCACCCUCGUAUAUAAGAAGAUGAGGUAAGUCGUAACAUAGUAAUGCUAUUAGAAA